CGGGGUCGCAUGGCGCGGUCGGGGCGGCGUUGGGGGAGGGAAUGACAAAAAUUAAAUAACGAGGAAACCGCUAAAUGUGGGAGUUUGGCCUUUUUUUUCAUUUUGUUGAGAAUUUUUCAGAGGCUGAUAAAGGAUCAAGAAGACUUCUGUACUUGAUAACCUGUUCUCUUUGUGCUCGGUGCUGAGAGUUACCUGUGGGGUGGUCAGGGAUUUUUCAUUGGUUCAGCUUGGAGGACAAUCCAGACCACUUAAACUACAUACAGAGUAGGUGAAGGAAUGCCAGCAGAUAGAGCACCCGAGAUGGAGGAGAUGAUUGGAGUGGCUUUGGCUGGACUUUUCCUCUGACAUAGCCACGGGCGAAGCCAGUUUCUUCCGUUAAUGCAGAGACUGCACCUUGGGAGAGGCGGUUGGCCAGACGCCAAGAAUGAUAAGGCCGCGAGGAGAAGCAGGAGGAACAGAGACUGAGGGGGAGGGUGUGUUGGAACUCUAGGCCUUCAGCGAAGGAUCUCUGUUCCUGAGCCCCAGGCCCCAGGGGAGAGGAGAGGCGGGGAGAGGCGUCCCAAAUGGUGAGACUUCUUGGAACUGGGUGAAAAGCAUUCUUAAAAAGAACCCAAGGAGUAGUUUGGGUCCAUGGACAGUGGUGAGAGCACUGGACAUGGAAGGAAGAUGGUCACCAUGGCAGAUUUCUCUUCGAGCAGCUGCUGUGUGUGACAUGGAAGCACAGAAGUUCUACUGUGUUUCCUGGAGAGGCCCAUGGUGCAAGAGGGAGGCUCCUCUCUCCUGGUGGACUGGGGGGGGGGCUUGGUUGAAAGGAGGGUAUUGGAGUGAGA